rnacentral:tRNA from 1 species
GGGAAUGUGGCUUAGUGGUAGAGUGCUUGCCUAGCAUGCAUGAAGCCCUGGGUUCAAUUCUGCAGUACCA